rnacentral:rRNA from 1 species
GCUCCAAUAGCGUAUACUAAAGUUGUUGCAGUUAAAAAGCUCGUAGUUGGAUUUCUGGCGUCGGCUUUCGGCCUUCUCGCGAGAGUUGCGUGCUUUGAGUUCGGCGCCAUCCUCGGGCAGACCACGUCUUGCAUUCAUUUGCCGGGCGCGCGUAUCUCCGUCUUUUACUGUGAGCAAACUAGAGUGUUCAAAGCAGGCUU